AUGACUAGUGGCUCCUCGCACAUUCGUGCAGCUACCUAUUCCUCAUCAUGGUUACAUCAAUCAAUAUUGGGGGCUGCGAAUGAUAAACUCCCAAAAUGUCUACUGCUCCCUAGGUGGACAUGCCCACUGCAACAGACCACAAAAGUGCACUGUUACUACCUCUUUGCUGCCAAGAUGGGUGCAUUCACAUGCAACACUGAUAAAACAGGAGGGCUGGCAUUCUAUAGCUCGGAAUUACGGCCAACAGGAUCGUCAUGGAAGUCUAGAAGUUUCACUAGCUAUUGUGGCUUGAAAGCAAUGAACUCUAAUUUGAAAUAUUGUUCUCAAGUUCUUGCCAUCAUGCACAAAUCCUAUUCUGCACUACUACCGGUUGUUGACUGUUGUCCUGCUGUCAAUGGGUAUUUUAUCCAUAGAACUUGGCCCAACAACCUUCAGAAUGUUCAGAGCUCUGUCAGGCCAUCUCUUGACAAUUACGCAAAUUCUUAUAACAAGUUACAUUAG
rnacentral:rRNA from 1 species